GACAUAGGUGGCAAGCGUUAUUCGGGAUUACUAGGCGUAAAGCGAAGUGUAGGCGGACGAUUAAGUCCGAUGUUAAAUCUCCAGGCUUAACUUGGAGUCGCAUCGGAUACUGGUCGCCUCGAGUGGGGUAGGGGGCAGCGGGAAGUUCCCGGUGUAGCGGUGAAAUGCGUAGAUAUCGGGAGGAACACCUAUGGCGAAAGCAGCUGCCUGGGCCUUUACUGACGCUAAGACUCGAAAAGCUGGGGGAGCAAACAGG
rnacentral:rRNA from 1 species